AGGUACAGAGGGAUGCUACCGGGCGACCGGAUGCGGAUCUCGAAAGCCUGUCCCAGUUCGGACUGGAGUCUGCAACCCGACUCCACGAAGUUGGAUUCGCUAGUAAUCGCGCAUCAGCCAUGGCGCGGUGAAUACGUUCCCGGGCCUUGUACACACCGCCCGUCAAGCCAUGGGAGCCGGGGGCGCCUGAAGUCCGGGACCGCGAGGACCGGCCUAGGGCGAAACUGGUAACUGGGGCUAAGUCGUAACAAGGUAAC
rnacentral:rRNA from 1 species